rnacentral:rRNA from 1 species
UACAGAGGUCUCGAGCGUUAGGCGGAAUCACUGGGCUUAAAGCGUGUGUAGGUGGAUGCCUAAGGACCUUGGGAAAUCCCACAGCUUAACUGUGGAACUGCUUGGUAUACUGGGUGUCUUGAGUCACUCAGGGGCGAGCGGAACAAAUGGUGGAGCGGUGAAAUGCGUAGAUAUCAUUUGGAACGCCAAUGGUGAAAACAGCUCGCUGGGGGUGUACUGACACUGAGACACGAAAGCCAGGGGAGCGAACGGG